AUAGCGUAUAUUAAAGUUGUUGCGGUUAAAAAGCUCGUAGUUGGAUCUCAGUUCCAGACGGGUGGUCCGCCUACCGGUGGUUACUGCCUGUUCUGAACAGCCAGCCGGUUUCUCUUGGUGAUCUUCACCGGUUGUCUUGGGUGACCGGCAAGUUUACUUUGAAAAAAUUAGAGUGCUCAAAGCAGGCGUGACGCCUGAAUAAUGGUGCAUGGAAUAAUGGAAUAGGACCUCGGUUCUAUUUUGUUGGUUUUCGGAACACGAGGUAAUGAUUGAGAGGGACAGACGGGGGCAUCCGUAUUGCGACGCUAGAGGUGAAAUUCUUGGACCGUCGCACGACGAACUACAG
rnacentral:rRNA from 1 species